AAAUGAUUGCAACAACAAUGAGUCACUUUCGUGUUGACUUCGAUCAACUGCACAUAGCCAACACAGUUUUGCAAGAGGGACGCUCUCAAUUUGUCGUAACUUGAGGUAAGAAAGACUAUAGGCGGUAUAGCAUUAUUUCAUUUUUCUAAACAAUAUUCGCUGAUCCGAGUUCGCGUUAUCGAUUUUUCAUCUUCAUAUCUGGCAAAAAUGGAGCCCAGAAUUUAAAUCUUCAUGCUGAAAUUUGUUUAUACCCGAAGAUUUCAUGUUGUUUGGACAGGCUGCAGGACGCUAGUUUCUUUUUUUCUAUACAUAUUUGACUGUUUCAGUGAAUGCUUCAAAUGUAUGCAAUUAAUACAAGACACUAAAUAUGCAAAACGUAGGAAAAUUGAUGACCGCAACUGUAACUCGGAUCGGAGAAUAAUAUUAAGAUAAAAAUUAAGUUCUGUAUUUAACUAUAUAGUUAUAUAUGCCAUUUAGAUGUCGUUAACGUCACUACUAUAUACUAUUAUUUCCAAUGGCAGUGUCUCGUUGCUGUUGGAUUUAGCAUGCACCAUGGCUUAAUAUUUGAGGGAAUUAAGUCCCCUAGAAAUAAUUUAUUUGUAAUAGCUCGUAACGGCAUUACUUUCACUAUUCUGUUUGUGUUCGUCUCUACCUUCAGUUUAGACAACGUUCAUGUUACGCCGUAUCGAAAUUGUUUGAAAACGUCACCUUCGCCGUAACAAUUUGAGCACGGUUUCUGAACGGAACGAGAUGAAGACGGACCGCUUGGAGGCCUUGUGUGUGUGUAUUAACAAACGCCGUUACUCUCUUGUACCGCUUGGAAACCAAGCAUCUCAGUCAUUCGAAUGCCCUUCGAUUGGCUUUGCUCUAUUUGAAAUAUUUUCGGUUUACACGAGUGCUAAUGGACCAAAUAUGCAUUAUAGACUAAAUUUUGAUCUAGAUAAAACAGCAGCUUGAAAGAGCGUCACAUCACAGCUUGAAAGAGCGUCACAAAAUUAGUAAUAUUCCAAAGUUUCGUUGCGAAAUGUUGUAAAAUGCGGAUAAUACAGCCCUACGAAGUUUGCCGUUUUUCAGUCAUUUUGUAUUACGCACGGGUGUUGGGGCAUCAAUUUCCCGUUUGUAAUACAAAAUGACUGAAAAUUGCAAAUUUCGCAGGGCUAUAUUAUCCACAUUUUACAACAUUUCGCAACGAAACUUUGGAAUAUUACUAAUUUUGUGAUGCUUUUUCAAGCUGUGAUGAAAUUUUUGUCUAGAUCAAAAUUUAGUCUAUAAUGCAAAUAUGCAAAUGUCCAUUUAAUUUGUAAACAAACUACUGUAAGCCAGUAGUGUGAACACAGCUACAGUCUGCCGGCAUUGUUUCGCUGCGGUGUAGUAUGAACGUAUUUCGGAGUAAUUUAAAGGGAAUCAAGGGAUUGCCUUACUGCGCCUAUUGGACUUGGGAGAUCAAUGUAGAAUUGAUAUAGAGCUAUCCAGUUUGGGUAAAGUUAGUUUAAUUAGUUCUGUUCAGCAAGGGAAGAGAACUAUAGGGUUUUAAACUUUCAGGUGACUAGAAGAUGGACGGACAACCAAAAAAUCCCGUGACUCAAGCAGACAAAUCUCGCAUCAUGGGUGGCCAGUCCAAGAAUUACGGAGACGGGAACAUCCCAUCAGGAUCGUUUGGUUCCAGAACACAGUCUGCUGCAGACAAGCACACUGCUGCCGGACGGACGAACAAGUAACGAAACGUCACGGAAAUACACGCAAUGGAGCUAUUUACUGAACUUUAUAAACGAUUCUCAUAAUGACUUUAAUACCUUAUAGACGUAGCCUUGUUUGUUAGAAAAUGUUGGCCUUUGUUGUAUCGUUAUUGGCUUGUAAGAUGAGCACAGCGGCUCAAGCGUACAACUGCCUUUUUUCCGAGAUUAAUUUUACUAUUUUUAACCUUUUUAAUCAAAUUUCGUCCUAUUUAAGGUAGCUCGAUACAGUUUUUAAUCAAAGGCCGUAGAGGUCGACUCACGGAUGAGAUCAAAUGAAAGUGACAGAAAGAAUUAGAGCAGUUUGCAGUUGUUUUUGCAAACGGGUACCGUGCGAGUUUGCCAUUUGUCGCGCUUUUGCGAAAUUAAAAGAACGAACGCGUGUUUCCGGUUCUGAAAGGCCCGAUUUGCAGGCAAACAGUGCGCGCAAAGCAGGCUGGUCAUUCCCUUUGUUCAACUGCUCCACACUCAAGUAACCACAAAGACUAAAAAAUGGAAAAUUCACAACUUAGUUCCGUAUUUUUGGACAAUUAUUGCUUGCUGAAAAGCAAAAAGUAUCUUACUGAUGUCAAACAACACCUAGAGCGAUUUUUUUCACAAAAGUUAUGGAAAUGCCGUUGCUAUGGCAACAAUGACGUUUCAAGAUGCUAGAAAAUUUGGUUUUUAAAGUAAUUUAACUCGAAAACGACAUCGGUGACCCCCAAUUUUUAUUCCAUAAAUUGAUUUCUUUUAGUAUCAGUCAAUUUUUUUGUCAAUUUAAAAAAAAGUUGAGGCAAAAAUAAUUUAUUAUGAAUAAUCACAUUUACGUAAUUUGAAAAUUUUGUGCUCGACAGAAUCUUUUUUUGAAAUUUUCAAAAUAAUUGAGUACACUAAAAAAAUCACUUGAUGAAUUAAAAUUUGAGGGUCACCGAUGCAUCUCGUUAACAAGUUUAAUAAUAUACAUGAAAAAGUGUCUCAAUUCUGAUUGGCUAAGAGCUGUGCAAGUUUUUCCAAACAAUGCAGUACAAAUUUUACUUGACUAUAAGAUACAGCCAUUUCUAUAGCAGAAAAUAAUACAAAAAAUUCAAACAUUUACAAGUGACAAAAUGACUGGCAUUUUUAGUAGAUUUUCUAUUAAAGGUAUUUAUAUUAAAAUUAACUAUUUCGCAUGUGACCUACGCACGCAUGUGACUGCAUAAUUUUUUCAUGUAAAUCAUUAGGGACGGAUCAUUAUUUAUGGUGGGGGGUGGCACCGAAGAGAAAUGUUUUUCCUGGUAAAAAUUUUGCUGACCCAACCAUUAAAAAGCAAAAAAUUUGAUUACCCAACAUCAAAUAUCAAUUAAAAAAUAAAUACCCACCCCAGGCCAAAACCUUUACAAAAGAAUACCAUUCAGUUGUCACACAUGUCCUUUACCACUUCUGUGACACAAGUUUGAUAACUAAACUUUGUUGUUGUAUGUACAUGUACUUUCUUUGGAGACACCAUUUGUUUCCCAACAAAUCGGAAAAUGAUCAAGAUAGUGACUCUGAUUGAUUCACAUAUUGUAUUGACAUACGACUGUUGACAUUGCUUUUCAGUCUCCAAUAUUUAAGUGAGUCAAUGCUUUGGAAAUGACAAUAACUUUUUAUUACCCAACCCUUGAGUUGUUUUGUUUUUCAUUUACCCAACCUUGUAGUUACUCAAAAUUUAGUUUACCCAACCCUUUUCUCUUCGGUGCCACCCCCCGCCAUAAAUAAUGACCGGUCCCUUAUAAGAGGCAAUUUUUUUCAAUGUCACGUAUUUGCAAUGAAAAGUGUUCAAAACCUAAAAUCUUUUUGGCGUUCCUCUCAAAAUUACUUUGUUUUAGCUUUAUUCUUUAGUUUAUAGAGUAAAUGUACCUGCCGGUUGAGAAACAUAAACUAAUAGUUAAAAAUUGUCAAUUAAAAUACAAUUAUCAAUGAUGCUUUAAAAUUGACGCCAUAUUUACAGCCAUAUAAGCAAAACUUACUGAACUUCAGACAUAAUUUUCUCUUUGGCGUGUCAUCUAAAAUCUCUCCAUUUUAGCAUUAUUUUACAGAUAAAGCACUAAACAUACUUUUUAAGUUUGUUUGCCAAUUGAGAAACGUAUAGAAAAAUAGAAAUUUUGAAUUUAGUCAUAACCUCAAGUGGUAUAUUAUAGGUAUUAGUUUUGAGCGCUUGUUACGUGACAUACAGAAAAAUCUCCUCUUAAUAAGUAAUAGUAUGGUUUCUCGUGCAAUUUGGAAAGACAUACACUCGUGAGUUUUUCAAACACUUCAAUUUGCACUCGUCCUUUGGACUUGUGCAAUUUUGAUCCUCUUUGAAAAACUCACUCGUGCAUGUUUAUCUCAAAUUGCACUCGAACCUACACAAAUUACUUUAAAGCCAUAAUAUCCGCCAUUUUAAAACGUCAUUGUCGCCAUAGCAACGGCAGUUGCAUAAUUUUUUGUGAAAAAUUUCAAACCCUUUAGAUGUUGUUUUACAUCAGUAAGAUUCUUUUUGUGUUUCAACAAAUAAUAAUUCUCCAAAAAUACGGAUCUAAAUCGUGAAUGUUCCAUUUUUAGAAAAACUUUAUCGGGCAUUAGCAUUUGUAGUAUUGAUAGUUAUCGAUCUCAAAACUAGUAUCUAGUAAUGAAAGAGAGUUGUACGUUUGGGCAGCCAGUACAUGGGAUGAGUAUUCAUGCCUGUAUUACAACUCAAUUUAUAGUUUGUUAUAAUUACUAUCUGUAUGUCUUUUUAAAAUAGCUCCAAACUAAAUUCGUCUUUAAAUGGUAUCUAUAUGUUUCAGUAGUAAAAUAAAUAAAAUUUGUGGACAAGUCUACGAUGAAGAGCAUUCAAGCAAAAUGAUUAAGAAUUUCUAUGCGUCUAAAAAUAUUGACACAAUGCGAGAAUCGCAAGAAUCGCAGAGAUAUAAUAAAUGCUUAAUAUUAGGAUUUGCAAUUGUCAAGAUUGGUUCCGUGCGCACAUUGCACACUCUAUAAACCAGACCUGUAAAGUAGUUUAAAAUGCAGGAAUAACACUGCCUGAUAAGGAAUAACAAACACUGCUUCGAUUUUGAAAAUUAGUAAGCUGCCUGAUGCUGUUCUUGGACGACUCUUUUAUUACUUUCACUGGUAAAAUACAACACUGAUAUACAAUUCGUAUGUACUGGAAAAAAUAGUGAAACUAUUUCCAUAGUAAGGAUUUACAGUCAAACCGGAUGUUCUCUUGCGAGCAACAUUGCAAUAUUUUCCUCUUUCUUAUGGUCCAAUCAGAGGCUUUGUUUACAAAUCUUUUGUGAAUUUCAACUUGCAAUUUGUUCCCGUCGGUUGCAAAUUGCUCAGAGGAAUCUGCCUGUCAAAAUUGCAAUAUUGUGGGACAAUAUUGCAAUGUUGCUCGCAAGAGAACAUCCAGUUCGACUGUAAUAAAAAUUUCCAGUGAUCCUUGCAUAAUAUGACUUAGCUCUUCCACAGUCCCUCAUCCGUUAUCCGUACGCGCGGUCGCGAUUAAUUCCCAUUAAGCCCCGCGCUUCCAUUGUUCUCCCACUGAUCUCUAUUCGAUACUGAAGCGACGAGGGGCGUAAUAGGACGGCGGAACAAGCGACACAACGGGCACACGACGUUGUUUCAACGUUGAAAUUUGGUAGAAAAAAGGUUGGGACGUCGACAACCUAAUAUCAACGUUGCUUUGAUGUCGUUUUACAAACGUUGGUUCAACAGCAGCUAACAGACAUUGAGAAUCAACGUUUAUUCGUGCUUGAUCAUCUCUCGUUCUCCCAUAUUUUGACUACUGUUCAUCUCUAUGGGAUAAUUGUGGAAGCAUGCUCAAAGAGAAAUGACAAAAACUACAAAAUAGGGUGGCAAGAAUUAUGACAGGUGCCAAUUAUGAUGUCAGGUCGACAGAUUUGCUCCAUGCUAUGUCAUGGAAAAAUCUGAACGACAGACAUAAAAUGAAUAAAUCGGUCCUGAUGUUUAAAAUAUUAAAUAACCACUCAGCUCCGAACUUAAAGGAUAAAUUUAUAACAAGGGACAUAAAUCUUAGUACUAAUUAUAAUCUUUCAGUUCCUAAACCACGUACUGAAUAUUUAAAAAAGAGUUUUGGAUAUAGCGGGCUGUUCUAUGGAAUAGUUUACCUACGUGGCUACACAGGCAAAGCAAACAGAAUCUUUCAGUAGCUUCAAAAAAUUGAUAAAAUAAUGUGUGCAACAGAGUCAGGCAUCGAAUACUCUUGGUUUUUUAGCUUUUUUUUAUCUACGUAUUUGUUAUUCUGUGUUAUUUUAUUUCAUAUUGAAUUUAUAUUAGUUUUUAGAAUGUAAUUUGUGUGACGCCCCUCAUGAAAAUCAUCCAUGGGUGAUGAGGGAAGCGUGGUUAAAUAAAGUUCUACUAUACUAUACAAC
rnacentral:lncRNA from 1 species